ACGGGUGAGUAACACGUGAGUAACCUGCCCCCUUCUUCUGGAUAACCGCAUGAAAGUGUGGCUAAUACGGGAUAUUCUGGGUCUGUCGCAUGACGGGCCCGGGAAAGAUAUUGCUUCGGUGGGGGAUGGGCUCGCGGCCUAUCAGCUUGUUGGUGGGGUGAUGGCCUACCAAGGCGGUGACGGGUAGCCGGCCUGAGAGGGUGGACGGUCACACUGGGACUGAGACACGGCCCAGACUCCUACGGGAGGCAGCAGUGGGGAAUAUUGCACAAUGGGCGCAAGCCUGAUGCAGCGACGCCGCGUGAGGGAUGGAGGCCUUCGGGUUGUAAACCUCUUUCGCCAGUGAAGCAGGCCUGCUCCUUGUGGGUGGGUUGACGGUAGCUGGAUAAGAAGCGCCGGCUAACUACGUGCCAGCAGCCGCGGUAAUACGUAGGGCGCGAGCGUUGUCCGGAAUUAUUGGGCGUAAAGAGCUCGUAGGCGGCUGGUCGCGUCUGUCGUGAAAUCCUCUGGCUUAACUGGGGGCUUGCGGUGGGUACGGGCCGGCUUGAGUGCGGUAGGGGAGACUGGAACUCCUGGUGUAGCGGUGGAAUGCGCAGAUAUCAGGAAGAACACCGGUGGCGAAGGCGGGUCUCUGGGCCGUUACUGACGCUGAGGAGCGAAAGCGUGGGGAGCGAACAGGAUUAGAUACCCU
rnacentral:rRNA from 1 species